UCUACGGGGGGCAGCAGUGGGGAAUAUUGCACAAUGGGCGCAAGCCUGAUGCAGCCAUGCCGCGUGUGUGAAGAAGGCCUUCGGGUUGUAAAGCACUUUCAGCGGGGAGGAAGGCGUUAAGGUUAAUAACCUUGGCGAUUGACGUUACCCGCAGAAGAAGCACCGGCUAACUCCGUGCCAGCAGCCGCGGUAAUACGGAGGGUGCAAGCGUUAACCGGAAUUACUGGGCGUAAAGCGCACGCAGGCGGUCUGUCAAGUCGGAUGUGAAAUCCCCGGGCUCAACCUGGGAACUGCAUUCGAAACUGGCAGGCUAGAGUCUUGUAGAGGGGGGUAGAAUUCCAGGUGUAGCGGUGAAAUGCGUAGAGAUCUGGAGGAAUACCGGUGGCGAAGGCGGCCCCCUGGACAAAGACUGACGCUCAGGUGCGAAAGCGUGGGGAGCAAACAGGAUUAGAUACCCCGGUAGUC
rnacentral:rRNA from 1 species